GACACCCUUCCCACCACUGCAACAUGCAUAUCUAAGAAAUUAUCUCCUAAGCACAUUAAAAGAACAAUUUAAGAGUGGAAAAAAAAAACCUUUUCACAGCAUUAUUUAAAUAAUGUAAAAGACUAACGGCAUAUAUUUUAAAACCCUAUAACUGAAUUUUAGUAAUAUAGGCAUAAAACUAUGAAUUGCUCCAAAGAUUGGUAGGAAGGAAUAAUGGUUCUGCAGAAUCUUCAAUCUGUCCAUCACUGCCAUUUGUAAAUAUAAUGGCCUAAAAAUGCUGUACAUGAAUAUGAUGUCAGAAACUAGUGCACGAGUCUGCAAACAGUCCGUCAUCAUUAAACACAAUCUGCUUUGCCAAGUUUGAGGCCUUCCUUACUCACUGCACAAUUAUUACUGCAAGAAUCACUUAAGGUAAACAUCAGGCUGUGCUGCUCACUCUCCCGCUGAUUGUUCUGCUGCCAUCAGCAGCCUCUUAUGGUUUCCAGCAAAAGAGAACUAAAGCAGCUCAUCCACAGCAAUUGUGGAUUAAUUAUUGCGCUAUCCACCUGGUAUGCUUCCCAUCACCGACAAAACUCAUGUUGUGUGUUUAACAAUACAAAGAGGAGGCAGAGAGGAGAGCUCUUUCUGUAAAAAUGCAACCCUUUGCUUUCAACAAUUUAAAAAACAUUUGUCUGGUUGUGUUUGCAUCCCAAUUUCUAUUCUUACCGAAAAUAAAAUCUUCAUCAUACAUCUGUACCAGUUAGUGCAGAAAUGACUCUUCACACAAAGUUUUCUCCAGUGUGUUAGUUAAGAUGCACACUUGAAAAUAAUAGAAAUCUCAAUAGUGAAAAGGUGAAACUGUAAAGACAUUAAAUAUCCCAGGAACAGAGGGACUGGCCUCCCUGGAAUGUCUUGGCAAAAAUUUGAUUUGUUCUAAAGAACAAAUCAAAUUUAAUAUGAUCUCUAAAUCCCUCCCCACCCUUUACAGGCAAAUGAAAGCAGUUUGAGGCAAAGAUGCAUUAGAAUCAAUACCUUAAAUCUAUGGCCCUGAAACUGUUCUUUAAGUACCACAGAUGGCAUUUGUGGUACUGAUCUAGGUUUCUGAAGAUGAAACCUAUAUCAGAGAAUGACAUUAAACCAUGUUUCAAUUCCAAAUUCAAAAAUGCAAGAUUUGCCAAUUAUACAGUUAUCAAGUUUACUACUGCUAAAAGUACAACCUGCUAAUGGAGACACCACACUUCUAACAUUUCAGCAAUUUGUUAGCUGUUCCACAAAAAAAA